CCGAGUUGGAGGAACUUUGCACAGCUCCGCGCCAGAGCCUGGAGCGGCGAAGUGUUCCCCCUCCUCUCCAGCGCCCCCCUCCCUCUGCCCCCGCCUCCCGGUCCUCGCCCAGGCGCGAGCUCUGGUGAUAGGACGAGCCCCGGGCGUGCAUUGUGUAUAUGCAAACCAGAGCCCCGGCUCCCCAGGGCUGCCCAACCCGGCCGGGGCUGCGGCGGCGGCUGGCGCUGCAGUGGGCGCUGCUGUCCUCGCCCGAGCCGGGCACUGUCAUGCCCCCGCCGCGCGGCGGGCCCCUGCGUCCCGGAGCCGCUAUAUAAGCGCAGGGAAGGGGACAAUCGGAGGGGCUGAAGAUGAAGGUGCCCGCGCAUGGGCCCCCACUGAUUGCCAACCCCUCCCGAGCCCGCGCCCCGCGCGGAGCCCGCGGCCGCCGAGGACCCGCCUUCGCCGCAGUAGCAGCUGGAGCAGCGACAGAGGAGGCAGCUGCGGCGGUGGCGGUGGCGGCGGCGCCCGUCGCCCGAGCGCGCAGAGCGGCGGCGGCAGCUCGGGGGCCGCCGCUGCCCCGGCUGCCAUGAGUUGUGCGGAGGUGAUGUAUCACCCCCAGCCGUAUGGAGCGCCCCAGUAUCUGCCCAACCCUGUGGCAGCUGCAACCUGCCCCACAGCCUACUACCACCCGGCGCCCCAACCUGGCCAGCAGAAGAAGUUAGCGGUAUACAGCAAGAUGCAGGACUCUCUGGAAGUCACCCUUCCCAGCAAACAAGAGGAGGAGGAGGAGGAGGAGGAGGAGGAGGAGGAGGAGGAGAAAGACCAGCCUGCCGAGAUGGAGUACCUUAACUCUCGCUGUGUCCUUUUCACUUAUUUCCAGGGAGACAUUGGGUCAGUAGUGGAUGAACACUUCUCAAGAGCUUUGGGCCAAGCCAGCACCCUCCAUCCAGAAUCUGCCAUUUCAAAAAGCAAGAUGGGGCUAACCCCCCUAUGGCGAGACAGCUCAACUCUCUCAAGCCAGCGGAGUAGUUUCCCGACUUCCUUUUGGACCAGCUCUUACCAGCCCCCAUCUGCACCCUGCUUGGGGGGUGUUCAUCCUGACUUCCAGGUCACUGCACCCCCUGGCACCUUUACCGCAGCUGACCCCAGCCCCUGGCCAGGACACGGGCUGCAUCAGACUGGCCCGGCCCCGCCCCCUCCCGUGUCCGAGCCCUGGCACUAUCCUUUGGCAUCUCAGGUGAGCCCGUCCUACAGCCACAUGCAUGACGUAUACAUGCGACACCACCACCCCAGUGCCCACAUGCACCACCGCCAUCCCCACCACCACCACCACCACCCUUCUGCUGGCUCUGCCCUGGAUCCGUCCUACGGGCCCCUGCUGAUGCCCUCAGUGCGUGCGGCCAGGAUUCCUGCUCCCCAGUGUGACAUCACAAAGACAGAUCCGACUACAGUCACCACUGCUACCUCAGCGUGGGCCGGAGCCUUUCAUGGAACCGUGGACUUAGUGCCAAGUGUGGGGUUUGAAACAGGUCUACAGCAUCAAGACAAGAGCAAGGAAUCACCAUGGUACUGAAACACAGUAUUAGCAAGUCAGGUUGGAGUGUGACUCCGUGGGCCCACUGGGAAAGAUGCUGCCAGGAUUUCCCAUUCUGCAGUGGGACACGAUAGACAUGCAAGAAGAGGAUGUAUCAGCCAGCUGACUUUGGUUGGGAGCCUUUUCUUGAGAAAGCAGAGUGGGUUCUAGACAUUGAAGAAAAGCAUUUUUGUUUGUUUUUUUCCCCUCAUCUGAGCCUUUGCCAACUGUGCAACUCUUUUUUAAGUCUUGCUUUUAUGGAUACAUGGUUUAAUUUUUGUUUCCUUUGGAUUUUUUUUUUUUCUUUUUUGAACCAACCACCUUGUCAGGAAAAGAUGAACCACAAAUGAAAAUGCUCAUUCUUUCAGGAAUACAAUUUUGUAGCUCUAUGUGUAUCUAUUUUUGUAGAAAUACGGAAAGUUUGAUUUAGCAUUGAUGGGCUAUUUUUGAGGGAUGUAUUUUUUUUAAUAUUGUAAAAAUUGUUAAGUUCUGUUUAAAGAACUUGCUCUCAGAGAAGCACUGGCAAAAAUGUUGAAAAGGCUUAUCUUUAAGAUGUCUGUAAUAUGCUCUGUGCUUUCUAGGUUACCUCAAGUGUUUGACCGUUUCUCCUUUUUUACAAAAGUAGCACCAUAGCCAAGCCAAUAUAGUAUUGUUUUAUACUAAAUCUCAGUGAAGAUUUAAUGCCAUGCUAGCUCACUUAGCUUUGAGUUAUAUGCAUAGCUUGAAAAGGAAGUGUUUUAAUGACCACACUUAAGAAAGGAUAUUUCAUUACUUCGAUUUGUCCCAAAGAGUACUUGGAAGUUGACUAAGUUUUGCAGAAACUUUAAAUCAGAGGGAGAGUUUGCCUAGAGUAUAUAAUUGUCUUUUUAGCCCAUCCAACUUUGAUAAAUGGAACCAGUUUAUAUCCAACUACUGGGGAAAAAAAAUGCAUUUACCCAUGCUACCUUUGAUUGCCAGUGGCUUGGUUUCCUUGUUUCUAUUUAUGCAAUCAUGGCAAUUUUUAAGGUCCUAUUUAAGUGGACUUUUUUUCCCUAGAGAUGUUCAAGGGACAAUAUUUGGGAAGGUACUAGAUGCAUCACAAAGCCUUUAAUUCAAUGACUAUUUCUGAUCAUUUUACUCAUCAUUGUAAAUUAAAAAAUAAUAUAUUAUAUAUGUAAUACUUUAAACAUCUUUUUUUCAAGACUUGUUUGUUUAAAUCUGGUCUUAGUUGGUUGAACUCUUUUAAGAAAACUUUUUAGAGCAAAAUGAAAUUUAAAUUGGAAUUUAUGCCACAGUUACUUAAAUUGGGGUUACAAAUUGACUGUUCUUUGAAAUUUAUCCUUGAAAACUCAGGAUUCAACUUGGGAUGGCCCUCAGGAUCUAAAUAAGGUGAAGUUGGAAUUACCAUUAAGACCUUGUUAGGAAAAUAUUAGGGUUAUAAAAAUAGCAGUUAUGAAGAAUUUUUGAUGCAAAGUCCAUUCUCAUCUAGCUGCUUCCAGAGAUGGGUCACAUUAAAAAGUUAGUGUUAUAUAAAAGUUUUAGUUUGGUAAAAGUUUCUCAAAUGUGCCCCAUCCUGGUCUUAACCCAUAUGAAAUACAAUGUUUAAUGAAAUACCACUUUCCACUUUAAAUUGUGUAUAUCUUGUGCAUAUACAUUUUAGCUAUAAGAGCAGCACAACCUCUGCUCAGCUAGGCAGGGCUCUUAUAGAUAAUUUAAAGUAGUUCCCUUAUCUCUGUUUUUUGCAUUGAUUUUCUUUCCUGGUGCUUCUGGUGAGUUAUAAAUCUAUACACUCUCUUAUAUUGUUAUCAUAAGUUGCUUCUUCUUAACCAAACUCUCCUUAACACAAUGUGCAUAUUUUUACCGAAUGUGAGGUCAAACCUUAAGGAAUUUUCGACUUAUAAAUCAUAUUACAAAUGAUAUGAACUUAGAUUUCUAGGGAGUGGUUUGGUUAAAUUAUCUAUAUUUUGAUCUAUAGUUUGAUUCGUUAUAGUUAUAUGUACUUUGCCCAAUAUGUGGAGCAUGAAGUUAAAUGAAUCUGUAAAAUUGGUUUCCUCUUGUGUCCUCCUGAGUUUUCAAAGUCAAGUAUUCACGCAGUUCCCAGGGGAUGACUCCCUGGGAAUUAUUUAUUUUCCUCCCCUUCUCUUGGAACCUAUUAAUUUCCUUUGCAGUUUCUCUUAGAAUAGCAUUGUACUCCAGCUCAUUCAGGUCAUUCAAUGGGAGUUUCCCAAUUAAGGGAGAAGUGUUAACUCUCUGCUCCUUUCCUUACUCGCCAUUGUACUGAAUUCAAGGAGUGAGAGACAAUUGUAUAGCUACACCCUGAAUUUGGACUGUGUUCUGUGCCACUCCUGAUAACUACAGUAUGAAAGGUUCGUUGGCUCUGGGGUCCAAGAAAAGUUGGAGAUCUGAAUUCUGCUGUAUCCAGGAAAGAUUUGUAAGUGAGGUCUCCUGUUAAGAAAAGGCAUUGUUGACAUACUGCAAGGAUUAGAUCCUUAAACAGGCAAGGAAUGGAUCAAAGUCUAAGUAAAAAGAGAGUGCGUGUCUCUAUCAUUGUCUGGCAUCCCCUUGGUGUUCUGUUUUGUUUUGUUUAUUUGACUGGUACCCCCUUGUUACGAUCAUAUUACCUACACCACCUUAAGUAAAAGAAGAUGAGUUGUAAUUUAACAUGAUAUUCUGAAUUUAAGUUUAAAAUGCUGUCACUCUCUGGGUGUGCUCUUCGCAUAUCAAAAUGAUGCUGUUGAACUUAGAGGCUUCUAACCUGCUUCACUGAGGGCUACCAACUUUCUUCCCCAUUCAUUUGGAACCACUCCGCCUUUGACUACUUUAAAAAUUAGACAUCUUUCAAGGUUUUUAAAGGUCUUUGAGCUAGACCCUACUAAAUCAUCUCAUUUAUUUGACGUCGAGUCAAGGCUUUGACUGCUAUAAACCAACAUAAGUUAAGGAACAACAUAAAAGUGUUAAGUUAGAUCUCAACAGGCUAUUUUGUCCCUCACUGUUUAUUUGAAAAGAGCAUCUAAAUAUUUUACAAACCAGUGUUUCUUCUUAAGAAGGUUAACCAUCCCCUCUGAACUUUCAUCUGCCAUUUUUUUUUUCUUUCUCUGUCCUCUUGAAAUUAUUUACAUUAUUAUUUUAAGCAAAAAUGGCCAGGGUUGCUCUACAUUUUGCAAAUGAGAACCAGUGGGUUGCAAAUAAUUUAAGGAAUUAAUUCUUUUAACUUUAUAAAAAAACUUAAAAAAAGACAAAUUUUAGUCACUGGUAUAAAACAUGCCCUUGCAGAGCUCAAUAUUCAUUUUGGAAAUCAUAUUCCUAUGCUAAGACCUGCAGAACAGGCAGGAUCUAUCCAGUUUUUGCAUUGGCUAUCUGGUUUAAUGUUACAUUUGUUAUUUGAAGUUGCAAUCAGAAACAGUAUUUCAAGAAACUAAAUUCUAUUUCUUAACGAGUGUCCCUUUGUUACAUAAUAUUGCCAAAUUAAGUCAAUGGGGUAAUGGCAUUAGUGGUAGAAAAGGAAAAUUUAUAUAUUGGAGUGUUGACUGAGGAAUGAAUAGAGAAGCAAAAUGAAUUCAUGGAAAAGAGCAUUGACUUGUGCGUUAGGUCAUUGUCUGAAUUCUGGCUUGGCCACAAUUAGGUAUGUGUGAUUUGGGUUUUAUUUAUCUUAUGAGCAAAGUGAGAUAACUACCUAAGUGGCAGGCUGUGAAGUCUGAAAAUCACAUCUUUCUAUCUAUCUGUGUAUCCAUCUAUCUGUCUAUCAUCAGUCAUCUCUGUCUCAUAGUAAAUGUUCAGUAAGCACCACAGUGUACCACAAAUGUCUGUCAAUUAAGUCAUAAAAUUGAGCUCCCAGAUGUCCCUUCUUUAUACUUCCCAUAUCUACUUCUGCAGCAAUCAAAUAGAUAUAUGACUGCUUUUUCAUCACAAAUUGUUGCAAGAGAAUCUUGUCCACUACUAUUUGUUGAAGAUAAAAUGUAAAUUUCUUAAUUAUUUCUGUUACUUUAGUGUGUCACUUAUGAAGGAAAAUAAAUUAACAUUUUAGUGGUGUGUAGAUCCAAUUGUGAGUUUUCUUACAUUUCCAAAACCCUAUUCAUCCAGGAUCCUAUAUAUUAUUUUCUCUCAUAUUAAGGCAACAUCUUUACUAAAUCACCAAAAUUUAUAUUUUUUUCAGUUCUAUUUUGGCUUCUUUAGCACCUGGAAUAAAAACCUCUCUUUUGAAGUUAUUCUUUUUUUUUUUUUUUUUUACUUGCCUUGGAGGAAAAAUUGCAAAAUAUGAUGGAAAAAAAUCGUUUGCAUGGAAAGGGGAGGGAAAAAAAUCCCUUUACAAUCUCAGCAGAUUUACUCUGCUUGAGAAAAAAGAAACAAUUUUAUUGGAAGCAGAUGUUGACACUGUGUCAGUUAUUGAAGAUGGAAAGAGUUCACUUGAACCAUUGCAGUUACAAAGGAGUAUUGAUGGCAGUUAGAAUCCCUGUGAUUGAUCACCUUCACAACAGACAUAAGGACAGCAGAAAAGCAGAAACUGUAUGAGACCAAGACUGAAAUCCGCCUGCUGAUUUUCAUGUACAGGAUCUUAAGAACCCAGUUUCGCUUCGUUUUGUGUUUUCUUUCCUCCAGGAUAAAAGACAUGUCUUUCAGAAAAUUUAAAGCUUCUUUGAGAAAUUGAAAUUUAUUCUCUGAAAACAUGGCCUAAGAGCUCUUUAAAUCACUUAUUAAAGUAUUAAAACUCUUAUUAAAGUAAUUUUCAAAAAAUCAGGUUAUAGUUUUAGUUUAAAAACGUGUGUGGAAGACAAAUAGAUAAGCUGCACAAAAGUGGAUGGUUGAAGAUUGGGGUAUGGGUGGACCCUCUAGGAAGACCUCAGUCUCAAGAGCUUCAAAAUGUUAAUUACCUUGGUAACUUGGUCAUGGACAUUGGGCACAGAACAGACUUUCGGAAUUUUUCAGCGGGCUUUUUUCUUUUAGUGCGCUCUGGGUAUUUCACCCUAUACACUUUUCCAAAAUAUAGAAAUAGCCAUUAUUAUUAAAAUAUCCUAAUUUUCUUAUUUCCUUUAUUGUCCAUUAUCCUUUAUUUGUUUGUUUGAAAAAUAUUUGUAUAGUUUCAAAUAAUUGAUCAAACAAGUAUUCACUUGAAAUUGCAAAUUAAUUAGAUUCAAUAAAUUUAUCUGAAUCUCCUUCUAAAGUUCCAGGAAAUACUAAUUAGAUUAAGUGUAAUUUACCAGUUCCAUUAUAUAAGUAAAUUAUGAUGCCUUCUAGAAAGGGCAGGUUACUGUCAAUUAGCUUCAUUUUUUAACAAUUUCUGGACUACUAAAUUUUGACGUAAGAAUAGCUCUUUUAGAAUAUAAGAUUCUUUAGGAGAUUUUUGUUUGGUGUAUGCAUAAGAUGUGAACUUUUCUAAUGGUAUCUCUUUAUACUAAUAGAGAUGUACAUUUUUUUAUUCUGUGGCUAGGGCAGAAAUUAAUAAUGAUUAUUUACACACAUGAUUUAAUUCCUUAGGUUAUUUACAAUCUUGGAUAUUAUAUAUGAUUUAAAAAGACUAUUCCAUACAUUUUUCUGGAUAUACAGUAUAGGGAAGAGUUUCCAUGUGAAUUCUUUGUAUCAUUUUAAAAUGCAUAUGUUGAAAGGGAAAACAGAUUAAUUUUUAUCAUAUAAAUCUAGGAAGGUGAAAUAACUUUUAUAAGAAAUAAUGUGGAAGACUUUAUAUUUGUCACUUAAGUAAACUGAAAACUAUUAAUAGAAAUACUAUCCUGCACCAUUGAAGUACAAUAAAAUUCCAGACUUGAUAGUUUGAUGAACAAUUUUAUGCUAUCUUAAUUUUACAUUUCUAGAAAGACAAGUAAUCUUGCCUAUGUUGUCAGUCUUAAUUUACAAAGUUCAUAAAACUUUUGGCGUCACAAACUAAUUAAAAAAUCUUAAUUUUUUUUUUCUGUUCUUUUUCUGGGGUUCGGGAAAGAGACAUUUUCGUAUUUCUGUUCAUUCUUCAAAUGCUGGUCGCAUAAUAUGUCAGUGAUAAAAGAUGGUGGAGGACUUUAUUGAAUCAUUACAUCUGUUACCAGUUAAGCAGUGGAACAACUGUGAUGGAAAGCAAACAUGUUUUGAUGCAUGUAAUGUGUAAAGUAGGUACCUGUACUCUGGAAUGUUGUUGAUCAGUAAAUGAGCUAGACUGUCUUAGAAACGACACUCAAGUACAACCGUUUUACUUUCCACACCAAGUUUGGCUGUGGCUGAAUGAAGGACACCAGCAUGGAUCUUUGCUUUUGCACUUGUAAAACACACUGUUUGCAGAGAGCCAAAUAUAGCAACAGAGGAUUUAUUAUCUUGCCAAAAAAUACAAAAUCUGUUCCCCUUUAAACACGACACUCUAUCCUUUUCUUGUGGAUCUUGCUAAAAGGAAAAUAAAGCUUUAAACAACCCC